rnacentral:rRNA from 1 species
UACGUAGGCAGCGAGCGUUGUUCGGAGUUACUGGGCGUAAAGAGUGCGUAGGCGGUUUUCUAAGUUUGGUGUGAAAUCUCCCGGCUUAACUGGGAGGGUGCGCCGAAGACUGGAAGGCUUGAGUAUGGGAGAGGUAAGGCGGAAUUCCUGGUGUAGCGGUGAAAUGCGUAGAUAUCAGGAGGAACACCUGCGGUGUAGACGGCUUACUGGACCAUAACUGACGCUGAGGCACGAAAAGCGUGGGUAGCAAACAGG